rnacentral:rRNA from 1 species
UACGUAGGGGGCCAGCGUUGUCCGGAUUCAUUGGGCGUAAAGCACGUGUAGGCGGCCAGGUAGGUCCGAUGUGAAAUCUGGAGGCUCAACCUCCAGCGGUCAUUGGAAACCAUCUGGCUAGAGUCCGGAAGAGGAGAGUGGAAUUCCUGGUGUAGCGGUGAAAUGCGCAGAUAUCAGGAAGAACACCAAUGGCGAAGGCAGCUCUCUGGGACGGUACUGACGCUGAGACGCGAAAGCGUGGGGAGCGAACAGG